rnacentral:piRNA from 1 species
UGAAGAGUAAGGAUGUUGGUGUGU